rnacentral:rRNA from 1 species
UACGUAGGGUGCGAGCGUUAAUCGGAAUUACUGGGCGUAAAGCGUGCGCAGGCGGUUUUGUAAGCCAGAUGUGAAAUCCCCGGGCUUAACCUGGGAAUGGCAUUUGGGACUGCAAGGCUUGAGUGCGGCAGAGGAGACUGGAAUUCCUGGUGUAGCGGUGAAAUGCGCAGAUAUCAGGAGGAACACCGGUGGCGAAGGCGGGUCUCUGGGCCAUAACUGACGCUGAGGAGCGAAAGCGUGGGGAGCGAACAGG